UACGGAGGAUCCAAGCGUUAUCCGGAUUUAUUGGGUUUAAAGGGUGCGUAGGUGGCCUGUCAAGUCAGGGGUGAAAGACGGUAGCUCAACUAUCGCAGUGCCCUUGAUACUGAUGGGCUUGAAUGAACUAGAGGUAGGCGGAAUGUGACAAGUAGCGGUGAAAUGCAUAGAUAUGUCACAGAACACCAAUUGCGAAGGCAGCUUACUAUGGUUUUAUUGACACUGAGGCACGAAAGCGUGGGGAUCAAACAGG
rnacentral:rRNA from 1 species